GUUUGAUCCUCGCUCUGAGUGAAUGCUAGUUGUGCGCGUAACACAUGCAAGUUGAACGUCCAGAAAUGGAAGUAGCGAACGGGUGCGUAAUGGGUAGGAAUGCUGCCCAAGAGUCUGCAUAAAUUGUGGAUAUAGAAAGGCUUAGACCGCUCUUGGAUGCGCCUAUUUAGGAUAGGUAGUUGGGGAGGUUGCGGCUCCCCAAGCCGAUGAUCCUUAGCUGGUCUGAGAGGACGUACAGCCACACUGGGAUUGAGAACGGCCCAGACUCGAUUUAGAGGCAGCAGUGGGGAAUUUUGGACAAUGUACGAGAGUAUGAUCCAGCAACACAACGUGAGAGUACGACGGUCAUACUGGACUGAACCUCUCUGUCGUCGAAGUCAAAGUAUGAUAUAGCUUCGAAUAGGAAGCCCUGGCUAACAUCUGUGCCAGCAGCCGCGGUAAAACAGGGGGGGCAAGGUGUCAUUCAUCUUAACUGGGCGUAAAGGGUGAGUAGGCGGCAUGCGUGAAAGCAUUUGUUCAAGCCUUCCGAAGUGGAAGAUGUCAAUGUGAGUAACGGAAGUGCUUGAGAGCAAUGAGAAAAAGCGGAAUUUCCAAAGUAAUGGGUCAAUAUGAAGAAAUUGGAAGGAAGGCCGGAGGCGAAGGCAGCUUUUUUUGUUGGAUCUGACGCUGAGGCACGAAAGCGUGGGUAGCGAUCGGGAUUAGGGACCCCAGUAGUCCACGCCCUAAACGAUGAGGUCCGAUUGGGGAAUCCUCCUAACGGUGCAAGACCUCCGCCUGAGGACUACGAUCGCAAGAUUCAAACUCAAAGGAAUAGACGGGAGCCUAUAUAUGCGGUGGAGCAUGUGGUUUAAUUCGACAAAACGCGCAAAACCUUACCCAUCCUUGAAUCAUAGACAGGAGUUGCAUGGCUGUCGUCAGUUCGUGUCGUGAGACGGUCGGUUAAGUCCUUUAACGAACGCAACCCUCAUUCUCUGUCCUAGUACUUGUUUCAUCUCUAUUGAGCCUUUUGCUCACAACAUUCAAACACAAAGU
rnacentral:rRNA from 1 species